AGACUGUGCCCGGCCACGUCAGCUGCGGGACCCUGGAGGGGGCGGGGCAGAUGUGGACAGAUUAUUUAUGUUCUCUUAGUGUCAGAAGAGGACUCUUAGCACCCAGGCCCGCCGGUCCUAACUCCGCACCCUGUGUUAGCGCACCCCCUCGGCCCCCGUUCCCGUGCGAGGCCCCGCCUGGCUCUGCCCUGAGACAGGGGGCUGUGUGCGCGUGGUCCCCAGGUGAGCGGGCAGCGGCUUGGUGGCCAGCGUGGCCCCAGAGGGCCCCUGAGGGCAGCCCUGCACAGGGACCUCGUGCCCUUCUCUUAGAAAGAUUUUAGAAAACCCCAUCAAACCGAUCAAGCUGUCCCCCAGGCCAGGUUCAAGGCGUGCUGUCCCCCUCCCCAGGGCCGUGGCCCCCCAGCCUGGCACCUCGCAGUUUACAGAGCCCCUCGCACCCCGGAGCCAGCGAGACCCCAGGCCAGCGCUGAGUGGGGUGUGGGGGGCUGGGAGUCUUCAGGGUGUUUGCCUCACUGGACAGCCAGGGACACUGAGGCCCAGCAUGGAGCUGCCAGAGACCCCACGACCUGCGUGGGGUUCCUGCCGUGGCUUGGGUGUCCUGACCCACAGCCCAUGGCUCCGGGCCCAGAGGACAAGCUCUGGACACACCCAGGCUGGCGCGAGGCGGCCCCCACGCCUGAGAAAUCCGUUGCAUCCCUCCCCGCUGCCUCACUGGGCUCUGCACCCCCACAGGUGCCUCUGAGCGUUUGCCCUUGCACCCUGACCCUUCACCCUGGCCCUGA